GGACGAACGCUGGCGGCGUGCUUAACACAUGCAAGUCGAACGGGACACUUUAUUUCGGUAAGGUGUCAAGUGGCGAACGGGUGAGUAACACGUGGGCAACCUGCCCUUCAGACGGGGACAACAUUCCGAAAGGAGUGCUAAUACCGGAUACGCCCGCACCUACGCAUGUAGGUGCGGGGAAAGGAUGGCCUCUAUUUAUAAGCUAUCGCUGAAGGAUGGGCCUGCGUCCGAUUAGUUAGUUGGUGAGGUAACGGCCCACCAAGACGAUGAUCGGUAGCCGGUCUGAGAGGAUGAACGGCCACAUUGGGACUGAGACACGGCCCAGACUCCUACGGGAGGCAGCAGUGGGGAAUCUUCCACAAUGGACGAAAGUCUGAUGGAGCAACGCCGCGUGAGCGAUGAAGGAUUUCGGUCUGUAAAACUCUGUUGUUCAUGACGAACGUUUCCUGGGUUAAUAAUCCAGGGGAGUGACGGUAGUGAACGAGGAAGCCACGGCUAACUACGUGCCAGCAGCCGCGGUAAUACGUAGGUGGCGAGCGUUGUCCGGAAUUAUUGGGCGUAAAGAGCAUGUAGGCGGCUUUUUAAGUCGGUCGUGAAAAUGCGGGGCUUAACCCCGUAUUGCGGUCGAAACUGGAGGGCUUGAGUGCAGGAGAGGAAAGGGGAAUUCCCAGUGUAGCGGUGAAAUGCGUAGAUAUUGGGAGGAACACCAGUGGCGAAGGCGCCUUUCUGGACUGUGUCUGACGCUGAGAUGCGAAAGCCAGGGUAGCAAACGGGAUUAGAUACCCCGGUAGUCCAUGCCGUAAACGUUGUGCGCUAGGUGUAGGAGGUAUCGACCCCUUCUGUGCCGCAGCUAACGCAUUAAGCGCACCGCCUGGGGAGUACGGUCGCAAGACUGAAACUCAAAGGAAUUGACGGGGGCCCGCACAAGCGGUGGAGCAUGUGGUUUAAUUCGAGGCAACGCGAAGAACCUUACCCAGACUUGACAUCCCAGGACCGCCUAUGAAAGUAGGUUUUCCCUUCGGGGACCUGGAGACAGGUGUUGCAUGGCUGUCGUCAGCUCGUGUCGUGAGAUGUUGGGUUAAGUCCCGCAACGAGCGCAACCCUUGUCCUUAGUUACCAGCGGGUUAUGCCGGGCACUCUGAGGAGACUGCCGAUGAUAAGUCGGAGGAAGGUGGGGACGACGUCAAGUCAUCACGGCCCUUACGUCUGGGGCUACACACGUGCUACAAUGGUCGGUACAGAGGGACGCAAGAUCGCGAGAUGGAGCCAAUCCCAAAAAGCCGGCCUCAGUUCGGAUUGCAGUCUGCAACUCGACUGCAUGAAGUCGGAAUCGCUAGUAAUCGUGGGUCAGCUACACCACGGUGAAUACGUUCCCGGGCCU
rnacentral:rRNA from 1 species